rnacentral:lncRNA from 1 species
ACUGGGGCAGCCGCGGGCGCCGGCGCAGGAAGCCUCCCUUCCCCCUCGGCCCGCCGGGCCCGGAAAGGCGGGAGCUGGGAGGAAGCUUCGCGGCGGCCGAGGCUGCGGGAGAGGACGAGCGCGCCCCAUUUUCUCCGCGGAGCCGCCCCCAGCCCUCCUGACCUCCGCGCCCCUUUAAAUCCUCCGCGGGUCUCCCCGCCCUUCCUGCUGGGAUGGGAGGAGACCUUAGCGGACGGUGCUCUGCCUGUGCGGCCAGAUGAAAGGGGGACUGGGAAAAUGAAGCCAGCUCUUGCCGGUGGGCUGGGGGCGGCAGGAAUCCGGAGCUCUGGCCGCUGGCGGCACUGGGCUUGAGGGAAGCGGCGGCACGGGAGGCGUCCUCGGGAGCCGGGGUCUCACGGUCCAGGGAACGCCCCCGCCGCCGGCUUGCUAGCGAGGCAUCCCGUGAACAAAGAGGCCUGCUUCACCCUACUGGGGCGAUCGCCCCCCGGAGGGAAGGGUUUCCACCUUGCACGGCACUCGCGCGUUUUGUCUGUUGGUUGUGGUGAGGAGGGUGUAUUGCAGAUCCAAAAGGAGCCUCUCGGCCUCCCAGGGUGUCUGGGUCAGAAUUGAGACGUUCUGGGCGAGGAGGUGUUGGGAGGGGAGUAGGAGGUCGGAAGGAGAGAGGCCGACCCAGUUAGCUCUGUUCACACCGUCCCUCUCUAGGAGCGGAGCCUACACCUGACUUGUUUGGAAUGUGAGCUUUUGCAGGGGACAGAGGCCCUGGCACGUAGAAAGUUCUAAACUGUCUGGUGAAUUGCUGCAAUUAAAACCAGAGCGGCUCCUUCAGUUGUCCUGGGUGGGCAGGGCAUCCCAAAGAAACACAGAAAGUAUGCAGGGUCCUUUGAAAAUAGUGCCCAUAUCAAACAAAAUAUUAAUACUUCGCAUUUGUAAAGUCCUUUCCUCUAAGAAUGUUGUCUCGUUCCAUAUAUAUUUUCCACUCCAUAAAAUUCUAGAGCACAAAGAAAGGAUUCAUAUGGGAGCGAAUAGAACAAGUAAAGACGGUCAGCUGUGGUCACAGUGGAGGAACUGAAGAGUUUAGACUUCACCAGCUCUUAGAGCCCUGUUUUCUUUGAAGUGGUUACAACCGAGUACUUUGGUGUGGCCUAAAGAGUUUGAAGGGUCUUUAGGAGCUCGCUCUCUCCUCUGCCAUGUGAGGGUACAGCAAGAAGGCGGCCAUCUGCAAGCCAGAAACAAAGCCCUCAACAGAACCUGACCAUGCUGGCACCCUGAUCUCAGAUUUCCAGGCUCCGGAACUAUGAGAAAUACAUUUUUUUGCUUAAACCACUCUGUGAUAUUUUGUUAUGGCAGCCAGAGCAGACUAAGACAAAUAUGUCUUCGCUUGGAGCUAAGCGCCCCUCCUACCACCUCCACCACCUGGCGUUUUGUUCAGCACUUCCACAGUUGUCUCAUUUUUAAUUUGUAACCGUGUAAGUUGGAAUUGGCAAGAUUUAUUUUAAAAUGAAGAAGCUAAGAAACAAAAAGAUUAAAAGGCCUGCUGAAAGUCACACAGAUUGUGAAUGACUGAACUAGAACUAGAGUCUCCCCAGACAACAUCUAGUCCCUAGCAUCUGCCAGGUUCUGGGCUAGAUUCGAGGGAUAAGGAGAUGAAUAUGAUUUAGAGGUGGAGAGGGUACAGUCUGGUCAAGCAAAGAAACGUGAACAAAUCAUUACAUCAAGUAGAAAAGUCUGCAAGGAUUCAUUGGCCCAGCAGGAUGUAUACUCCCCUACCCACCCCCUGCUAUUAUGAUGGAAUUGGCGGUCUGGUGAGACACAGUGAGAGGAUGAUUUCCAGCUAACACAGCUGUGGCUUGAUCUCCAGGGCCCAGAGUCUCUGGAGAUUCUUUGCAAGUCUCGUGGUCAGGAAAUCCAAAUCUCUGCUCCUUCUUAGCAGGCUGUAGCAUUCCCACUCACAGUUCUCUCCUUAGCAGUCAGAUUCUUCCCGAGGAAAAUAAUGAACAUGAGAGUCCUCAAGAGAGGGUGGAGGGAGGGGAGACAGAGAAAGACCCAGACAGACAGAAAUGGAAAGACAAAACAGCUACAGCGCUGAAGGAAGUAUCUGUGCCACAGAAGACAGGCAGAUCCUGUGACUGGCUAGAAAGAACGAACCAGAUGUGGAUCAACAUAGAGAAAAACUCAUGGAUGGUAUCUUGGAUUCUGGAAGAGGAUCAAGUGUAGAGAGUACCAAAGGAAAUCCUACACUUCAGAGACAACAUCAGUGUUUGCACAGAGGGAACAAAAUGGUUUUUCUUUUACCUCACAGCAUGCAAGUUUCCAACAGCUGCUCUGCCCCGACUUGAGAGGUGGAAUGGGUUGAAGAACAAGCAGGUGGGAACACAUGGCUUUCCGCACAUCCCUGAAUUCUAGAAAAACUGAAAGGAGCCUUGUCUUGGCAUCUGAUAGAACGAUUGGGCUGGGGCAACCUUGCAGAGGCCCCAUUCAUAGGGAAAAAGCAGAGGGCUGGGACCAGGACUGCCUUGGUGCUAAAUGGAUGGAAAAGGGGCAGCUGUCUCACCAUCCUGUAAGUUAGGGAUAUGGCUUACCACACAGGCCUAGAGGCUUCUUGUGACCAGGUCCCAGAAAACUUUAUUACAUAAAAAGUAGAUUUACUGCAAAUAUCCCAGAUGAUAACGGUUUGCCUCUAUGUCCCCACCCAAAUCUCAAGUUGUAAUCCCCAGUGUCAGGGGAGAGAAGUAAUUGGAUUAUGGGGUGGUUCCCCCAUGCUGUUCCCAUGAUAGUUUUAUAAAUGGUAGUUUUUCCCGCGCUUACACGUGCCCUCACCUGCUGCCAUGUAAGACGUGCCCGCUUCCCCUUCCACCAUGAUUGUAAGUUUCCUGAGGCUUCCCCAGACAUGCGAACUGUGAGCCAAUUAAAUCUCUUUUGUCAGUUACCCAGUCUUGGGUAUUUCUUUAUAGUGGUGUGAAAACGGACUAAUAUAAUACACCAGGCCAGCUCUAUGCCAGUCCCCUAAAAGAAUCACCUGCUAGAGAUGCUCAGUAGCAGUGCUGGGUACCAGCCCUUCUUCCUGCAGCUUCCAAAAGCUGAUAGCCAAUACUCUAUUUCACCUGCCCAUAAGUGGGCAGCAUCCGGUGAUAGAGGCUGCUGCUGGUCUGGAGAGGAAAGAGGAGAGGCCCUUUCAGGAAUGCAGUCCCUGGAGGUUUCUCCUUCCCUGCCUGAAGGAUUCCAGAGGUCUGAGAUAAACCCCAGGCUGUAGUCCAGCAAAGAGCUUUGGGCUGUAUUCCUCUGGGAGACAGCAAUUGCUAGAGAGAGAUUUUAUUUUAAAACCCCCAUUCCCACUGCGGGAGGGAGCAGUGGUAGCAGGCAUUGGGAAAAACUGUGUUUGAAUCAGGAAGGAGGCAUUCAGCUAGAUGUGCGUAUCCUUUCACACUUUCUGCUCUUCCACAUUUGUUCCCUAUCGUACCCUUAAGAAUUAUUACUGAAAAACUCCAAGGGCAUGUGUUAAGAUCACAGUGAUUCCUAACAUCAACUCUCCUUCUAUGUUUUUUCCUCCCAAGGCUUUCCACUGGGUUGAAUUUUAAAUUUGAACAAUGGUUCAAAGGCUGAGAGACAAACUGCUCAUUACUGGAAAGAGUGCCAGGAAUCCUGGGAAGCAGGCCUCCCUCCCCACCGGAGCACUGCACCUCAUAGUAAUGGCCUCUUUCAUAGUCACGGAAAGGUUGGAUCAGCGUUUCUUUUCAUUCCUGUCUUUUUUCAGGGACUGCUGGGAUAAAAGGAAGUCUAGAAGAAUAAAAAAUUCACAAACAGGAGAAGAAUAAAAUAUUUAGGGCAAGAGAUCAGAAAUCCUUUGGUUAUUCAGUGAACUGAACUAACUCUACUUUUUUUUAAAAAAGUACAAGGAAAUAAAUGUCCAUCAAAUGCCAUAUCACAGUGGGAUUAGCCUGUCGACCCCAUCACACAGGAUCUGAGGCUAGGUUAUCAUGCCUAGUAAGUUGCAGUAAGAGAGACUCAGACUAACCCAGUGAUAAGAUGGAACAGUUUUAUAAUUAUUAAUUUCAUUCCCAAUAUUUCUGACAUCUUUAUUCUGAGAAGCUUUCCACCAAAGUUGUCAAAUGACCCAUUUCCUCUCACUUCACACUCCCAAAUCCAAUCAGUGAUGAGUAGAAGGAAUGGAAAGGUUAUUUGGUGCCAUAAAGAAAACCCAGUCACCUUGGAGGAGCAAUUCAGGCUUUCCAUCAUUAGUUCCCAUCGCCAAGAACAAAUGAUGGUUUCUAAAAGGGAAGACAGGGUUAAAACAACAUGGUUGAGAAGUACAUACUAGGCCGGGGGCAGUGGCUCACGCCUGUAAUCCCAGCACUUUGGGAGGCCAAGGC